UGACGUCAGCGGUGGGUUUGAUGACGUCACUGACUGCAGCAGGGGCCGUGGGCGGGGCUCUGGUGAUGGCGGAAGCGGCCACAGGGCCAGGGGACGCCCGGGUGACGUCAGCAGCGGCCAUCUUGGUGACGUCAGCAGCGGCCGUGGGGGGUGCUCUGGGGACAGCGGCGUUGGCCACGGCGGGGGCGGGUGACGCGGUGGUGACGUCACCGGUUGCCAUGGGUGACGCGCGGGUGACAUCAGCAGUGACGGCAGGUGACACGGGUGUGAUGUCAGCGGUUACCGGGGUAGAGACACAAGUGACGUCACCGGUUGCCAUGGGAGAUGUGCGAGUGACAUCACCGGUUGCCAUGGGGGAUACCCGAGUGACGUCACCGGUUGCCAUGGGAGACGUGCGAGUGACGUCACUGGUUACCGGGGUAGUGACCCGUGUGACGUCAUUGGUUGCCAUUGGUGACAGGCGAAUGACGUCACUGGUUGCUAUGGGAGACGCCCGAGUGACGUCACCAGUUACUGGGGUAGUCACCCGAGUGACGUCAUUGGUUGCCACGGGCGACGCCCGAGUGACGUCACUGGUUACCGGGGUAGUGACCCGCGUGACGUCACCGGUUGCCAUGGGCGACGCCCUUGUGACAUUACCGGUUGCCGGGGUAGACACCCGCGUGACAUCAGCGGUUGCCACGGGCGACGCCCGCGUGACGUCACCCCUCCAGGCCCCGCCCCCGCCCCCCUUGGGCCCCAGGGAGAGGGGGGAGGCGGCGACGGGGACGGGGGAGGCGGGGAGGGGCCGGGGGGCGGGGGGGGGCCGCAGGGCGGAGGCGGCCACGGGGGACGAGGGCAGCCCCAGCAGCUUGGCGGCCGCCAGCGCCCGCGGCAGCCCCGGGGGGGGCGGGGGGGGCGCCCCCAGCNGGGUUUGGGGUCCGGGGAGGGUCUGGGGGGGUCCGCGGGGGGCCUGGGGGGGGUCUUGGGGGGCGCCGGGGGGGUGACGGUGACCACGGGCAUGGCCUUGGGCAGGGCGGGGGGGGCGGGCACGGCGCGGGGGAGGGCGGGGGAGGCCGAUUUGAGGAGGUUGGGGGGCACCGCUGACGUCACGGGUGAUGCCAUGGGUGACGUCAUCACUGAGGUCACGGCGGUGGUGGUGGCGUCGCUGGGCGCGGCCUCGGCGGCCAUCUUGGGUGCUGGCGGCGGCGCCGGUUUGGUGUCGGCGGCCAUCUUGGGUGCCGGUUGGGCGUCGGCGGCCAUCUUGGGUGCUGGCAUUGGCAUCGGUUGGGUGUCGGCGGCCAUCUUGGGUGCUGGCGGCGGUGCCGGUUGGGUGUCGGCGGCCAUCUUGGAUGUUGGCGGCGGUGUCACCGGUGCCGGUUUGGUGUCAGCGGCCAUCUUGGGUGCUGGCGGCGGCGUUGGUUUGGCGUCGGCAGCCAUCUUGGGCACCGGUUGGGCAUCGGCGGCCAUCUUGGGUGCUGGCUGGGUGUCGGCGGCUAUCUUGGGUGCUGGCGGCGGCGUCACCGGGGCCGGUUGGGUGUCGGCGGCCAUCUUGGGUGCCGGUUGCGGUGUUGGUUUGGUGUCGGCGGCCAUCUUGGGAGCCGGUUUGGUGUCGGCGGCCAUCUUUGGUGCUGGCGGCGGUGCCAGUUUGGCCUCGGUGGCCAUCUUGGGUGCUGGCUGGGUGUCGGCGGCCAUCUUGGGCGCUGGCGGCGGUGUCACCGGGGCCGGUUUGGCGUCGGCAGCCAUCUUGGGAGCCGGUUUGGUGUCGGCGGCCAUCUUUGGUGCUGGCGGCGGCGCCGGCUUCGCCUCGGCGGCCAUCUUGGGGGCUUCAGGCACCGCUCUGGGGGUCACCGGUGUCGC
ensembl:lncRNA